rnacentral:rRNA from 1 species
AUUGAACGCUUUCUUCCUGCCUUCCCCCUGCACGUCGACCGGCAGCACGGGUGCUUGCCCCUGGUGGCGAGUGGCGAACGGGUGAGUAAUACAUCGGAACAUGUCCUGUAGUGGGGGAUAGCCCGGCGAAAGCCGGAUUAAUACCGCAUACGAUCUACGGAUGAAAGCGGGGGACCUUCGGGCCUCGCGCUAUAGGGUUGGCCGAUGGCUGAUUAGCUAGUUGGUGGGGUAAAGGCCUACCAAGGCGACGAUCAGUAGCUGGUCUGAGAGGACGACCAGCCACACUGGGACUGAGACACGGCCCAGACUCCUACGGGAGGCAGCAGUGGGGAAUUUUGGACAAUGGGCGAAAGCCUGAUCCAGCAAUGCCGCGUGUGUGAAGAAGGCCUUCGGGUUGUAAAGCACUUUGGUCCGGAAAGAAAUCCUUGGCCCUAAUACGGUCGGGGGAUGACGGUACCGGAAGAAUAAGCACCGGCUAACUACGUG